rnacentral:rRNA from 1 species
UGGUAGUCCACGCUGUAAACGAUGAGUGCUAGGUGUAGAGGGUAUCGACCCCUUCUGUGCCGCAGUUAACACAAUAAGCACUCCGCCUGGGGAGUACGGCCGCAAGGUCGAAACUCAAAGGAAUUGACGGGGGCCCGCACAAGCGGAGGAACAUGUGGUUUAAUUCGAUGAUACGCGAGGAACCUUACCUGGGCUUAAAUGUAGAGUGCAUUUUUUAGAGAUAGAAAUUCCCUUCGGGGCUUUCUGCAAGGUGCUGCAUGGUUGUCGUCAGCUCGUGCCGUGAGGUGUCGGGUUAAGUCCCAUAACGAGCGCAACCCUUAUCGUUAGUUGCCAGCUGGUAAAGCAGGGGACUCUAGCGAAACUGCCACCGUAAGGUGAGAGGAAGGUGGGGAUGACGUCAAAUCAGCACGGCCCUUAUGUCCAGGGCUACACACGUGUUACAAUGGCCGGCACAGAGGGCAGCUACCUGGUGACAGGAUGCUAAUCUCGAAAACCGGUCUCAGUUCGGAUCGAAGUCUGCAACUCGACUUCGUGAAGCUGGAUUCGCUAGUAAUCGCGCAUCAGCCAUGGCGCGGUGAAUACGUUCCCGGGCCUUGUACACACCGCCCGUCAAGCCAUGGAAGCUGGGGGUGCCUGAAGUCCGUAACCGUAAGGAGCGGCCUAGGGUAAAACUAGUGACUGGGGCUAAGUCGUAACAAGGUAGCCGUACCGGAAGGUGCGGCUG